UUGAAAUGUACUUAUAUUGGAAGCAUAGAAUUUACGUACAUGAGCCUUUAUAUCUUGGCAAAAGUGACUUCCUUUUGAAAAUUUACUAUAUUGUGAUCUAAGUGCUUAGAAUAUGGUUUAUCAUGAGAAAUCUUUCUCUUUUGAUGAAGCACUCAAAUCAGGGCAUUGUUUUGGUGGAAAAGGAACUUUUUUUUUUAUGAAGCACUCAGGGCCUGGAACAUGAUGCUCACAUCUCAUGAUGAAACUUCCCAUAUGAAGUAUAAUUUUUGCUGAAAUUUGACUAAGUGUGAUCU
rnacentral:lncRNA from 1 species